UACUAGAGUAGCACUCGCAUAUCAAUAAGCGGAGGAAAAGAAACUAACAAGGAUUCCCCUAGUAACGGCGAGUGAAGCGGGAAGAGCUCAAAUUUGAAAUCUUAAAGGGUUUCCCUUUACGAAUUGUAGUUUAAAGAAGUGUUUUCUGUUGAGGUUUUGGUAAAAGUUCUUUGGAAUAGGACAUCAUAGAGGGUGAGAAUCCCGUAUUUGACCUUUACUUUCAACUUUGUGAUACACUUUCAAAGAGUCGGAUUGUUUGGGAAUGCAGUCCAAAAUGGGUGGUAAAUUUCAUCUAAAGCUAAAUAUUGGCGAGGAGACCGAUAGCGAACAAGUACCGUGAGGGAAAGAUGAAAAGAACUUUGAAAAGAGAGUUAAACAGUACGUGAAAUUGUCAAAAGGGAAGCGUUUGACACCAGUGUUGUUUUUCUGAAAAUCAAUUAAAGAACUGUUUAUGCUAAGUUGUUUAGACCUUAUCAGCUAACUGUUUAGUUUUGAGCUUUUCUUUAAUGCACUUUUCAGUUAACAAGUCAACAUCAAUUUCUUUUGCUGUAAAAGAAGCUUGAGGAAGGUGGCUUGAGAUUCGUCUUAAGUGUUUAUAGCCUCUUGCCUAUGCAGUCGGAGAGAUUGAGGUCUGCAGCGUAGAUCCUUCGGGGCUAAAUGCAUUUGUGCUAAGUUAUAGCAUUUUAUAGACAACUUGUUGACUAUGAUUUGUCUUGUAGCUUACUCGCUUAUGUUAUUUUACCUACGCUUAGGAUGUUGAGCGCAUGUCUCUCUCUA
rnacentral:rRNA from 1 species